GUUUGGUAUUUGUGGUUCAUUAAUAUAUUUCACAAGCUCAGAACAGUCUUAAGAGGGGGAAGCUCUUCUCCAGGAUGAUGGAUAUAUCCAAGCAAGCAAGUCCCGUACGUUUUACUGUCAGGUAAACAGCUUUUCUGCAAAGCACAAAGUGAAGCUUUACAGGGAUGUCACCAUGGCCUGGGACCAAUUCCUGCCUAAUUAGUGUGCACAGAAACAGCUUUCCUGGAAACACCAUUAUCUGCAUGGCUCUGGUUCCUGCUGCCUUCCCCCAGGCAGUGCCUUUAAAGUGGGCAGAAGUGAAAUUUUUCUUCCUUGAAGGUGACUAUUUUUGCAAACAUUUGCUGCUGGCUGAGUUGGCUUUGAUGCAGGUGUGGCCACUGCUGAGCUGGGUGUGAUAUUUGGGCACGGAACCCGGUGCUGGCAGCAGCUGCACAA
rnacentral:lncRNA from 1 species